rnacentral:rRNA from 1 species
AUGGCCGACUCCUCCGCGCCGCACUCCAACGGCGGCGCCGUCGCCGUCGCCGAUGCCGAGGCGGUGCCCCGCUCCCUGGCGCCGCCGCGGAGGGUGGCGCUGGUGACGGGCAUCACGGGGCAGGACGGGAGCUACCUGACGGAGCUGCUCCUGUCCAAGGGAUACGAGGUGCACGGCCUCAUCCGCCGCUCCUCCAACUUCAACACGCAGCGCCUCGACCACAUCUACCACGACCCGCACGCGACCCCCUCCGCCGCGCUGCGCCCGCCGAUGCGCCUCCACUACGCCGACCUCUCCGACUCCUCCUCGCUCCGCCGCGCGCUCGACCACGUGCUCCCCGACGAGGUCUACAACCUGGCCGCGCAGUCCCACGUCGCCGUCUCCUUCGAGAUCCCCGACUACACCGCCGACGUCACGGCCACGGGCGCGCUCCGCCUGCUCGAGGCCGUCCGCCUCUCCGCCAAGACCAAGCCCAUGCGCUACUACCAGGCCGGGUCCUCGGAGAUGUUCGGGUCCACGCCGCCGCCGCAGAGCGAGGCCACGCCCUUCCACCCGCGGUCACCCUACGCGGCCGCCAAGGUCGCCGCGCACUGGUACACCGUCAACUACCGCGAGGCGUACGGCCUCUUCGCCUGCAACGGCGUGCUCUUCAACCACGAGUCCCCCCGGCGCGGCGAGAACUUCGUCACCCGCAAGAUCACCCGCGCCAUCGGCCGCAUCAAGGUCGGGCUCCAGACCAAGGUCUUCCUCGGCAACCUCUCCGCCGCCAGGGAUUGGGGCUUCCCCCCGCUGGACCCUGUUAUCUAA